rnacentral:rRNA from 1 species
UGGGGAAUAUUGGACAAUGGGCGCAAGCCUGAUCCAGCCAUGCCGCGUGAGUGAUGAAGGCCCUAGGGUUGUAAAGCUCUUUCACCGGUGAAGAUAAUGACGGUAACCGGAGAAGAAGCCCCGGCUAACUUCGUGCCAGCAGCCGCGGUAAUACGAAGGGGGCUAGCGUUGUUCGGAUUUACUGGGCGUAAAGCGCACGUAGGCGGACUUUUAAGUCAGGGGUGAAAUCCCGGGGCUCAACCCCGGAACUGCCUUUGAUACUGGAAGUCUUGAGUAUGGUGGAGGUGAGUGGAAUUCCGAGGGUAGAGGUGAAAUUCGUAGAUAUUCGGAGGAAAACCAGUGGCGAAGGCGGCUCACUGGACCAUUACUGACGCUGAGGUGCGAAAGCGUGGGGAGCAAACAGG